rnacentral:sRNA from 1 species
GCAUCCAAUGAUGAAGAGGUUUAUUGCAUGGACACGCAGCCAAGAGGAAUGGCAUUGAUCAUCAACAAUGUUCGUUUUAAAUCUUUUUCUGUCAGAAAUGGCAGUGAUGCGGAUGUUAGUCAUUUGUCCAAGAUGUUUGUUAAACUGAAAUUUUCAAUCUGCUGUAAGGAUAAUCUGACAGCUGAGGCCCUCUGCAAACUGCAUCACACGACACAACCAAUUCAAACAACUUGACAACUCAGGGCUCCAAAGUAACGUAACAGUUUAAUGUCAAAUACAUAACAGCCAAUACUGUACAAUAGCAACAACAUAAUGCUGACUGUAUAAAAACCUUGCCUCUGUUCCUGACUGACUUUACACUGUGCUGGUUCUGACUUUGCCUGGUACUGGUGACAUUGCGAGGUAACGUGAAGCGUCUUGACUCUGACACAUUCGCUCUUAUAUAGGGUCCCUAUAGGGCUUCUAGAACCAGAUGGAAGGUCGCUUGACCAUUCUGGUUAAUAUGACUACAUUUGUCAUGACCUGCGUGC